UAGUCUAUACAUGCAAGUCGAACGGGAUUCAAAGUAGCAAUAUUUUGAUGAGAGUGGCGCACGGGUGAGUAACACGUAUGCAAUUUACCUUUAACUGGGGGAUAGCCCUCCGAAAGGAGGAUUAAUACCGCAUAAUAUAUUGAAAUGGCAUCAUUUUAAUAUUAAACCUACGGGGGUUAAAGAUGAGCAUGCAUCCGAUUAGCUAGUUGGUGUGGUAACGGCUCACCAAGGCAACGAUCGGUAGGGGGUCUGAGAGGAUGAUCCCCCACACUGGUACUGAGACACGGACCAGACUCCUACGGGAGGCAGCAGUAAGGAAUAUUGGACAAUGGAGGCAACUCUGAUCCAGCCAUGCCGCGUGAAGGAUUAAGGCCCUAUGGGUUGUAAACUUCUUUUAGACGGGACAAAACCCCUUUACGUGUAAAGGGUUGAUGGUACUGUCAGAAUAAGCAUCGGCUAACUUCGUGCCAGCAGCCGCGGUAAUACGAAGGAUGCAAGCGUUAUCCGGAAUUAUUGGGUUUAAAGGGUGCGUAGGCGGACUAAUAAGUCAGUGGUGAAAGCCUGCAGCUUAACUGCAGAAUUGCCGUUGAUACUGUUAGUCUUGAGUACAGUUGAGGUAGGCGGAAUGUGUCAUGUAGCGGUGAAAUGCUUAGAUAUGACACAGAACACCGAUUGCGAAGGCAGCUUGCUAAGCUGUAACUGACGCUGAGGCACGAAAGCGUGGGGAGCAAACAGGAUUAGAUACCCUGGUAGUCCACGCCCUAAACGAUGAUAACUCGCUGUUGGCGAUAUACUGUCAGCAGCCAAGCGAAAGCAUUAAGUUAUCCACCUGGGGGAGUACGACCGCAAGGUUGAAACUCAAAGGAAUUGACGGGGGGGCCCGC
rnacentral:rRNA from 1 species